rnacentral:rRNA from 1 species
UACGUAGGUGGCAGGCGUUGUCCGGAUUUACUGGGCGUAAAGAGCGCGCAGGCGGUCGUGCAAGUCGCGUGUGAAAGCCCCCGGCUCAACUGGGGAGGGUCACGCGAUACUGCUCGACUCGAAGGCAGGAGAGGGAAGUGGAAUUCCCGGUGUAGUGGUGAAAUGCGUAGAUAUCGGGAGGAACACCAGUGGCGAAGGCGACUUCCUGGCCUGUUCUUGACGCUGAGGCGCGAAAGCUAGGGUAGCAAACGGG